rnacentral:rRNA from 1 species
CCUACGGGCGGCAGCAGUGGGGAAUAUUGGACAAUGGGGGAAACCCUUAUCCAGCGACGCCGCGUGAGGGAAGAAGGUUUUCGGAUUGUAAACCUCUGUCAGUGGGGACGAUAAUGACGGUACCCCCGGACGAAUCCACGGCUACCUACGUGCCAGCAGCCGCGGUAAUACUUAGGUGGCAAGCGUUGUCAGGAAUUACUGGUUGAAAAGGGAGCGGAGGCGGGAUGUCAAGUCAGAAGUGAAAAUUAUGGGCUAGACUCAUAACCUGCCUUUGAAACUGAUAUUCUGGAGUGAAGUAGAGGCAAGCGGAAUUCCUAGUGUCGCGGUGAAAUGCGUAGAUAUUAGGAGGAACACCAGUGGCGAAGGCGGCUUGCUGGGAUUUGACUGACGCUGAGGCUCGAAAGCGUGGGGAGCAAACAGGAUUAGAUACCCCUGUAGUC